rnacentral:rRNA from 1 species
UACAGAGGUGGCAAGCGUUGUUCGGAAUUACUGGGCGUAAAGGGCGCGUAGGCGGUUCGUUAAGUCCUGUGUGAAAUCCCCCGGCUCAACUGGGGAACUGCACAGGAAACUAGCGGGCUUGAGUUCGGGAGAGGGAAGCGGAAUUCCGGGUGUAGCGGUGAAAUGCGUAGAUAUCCGGAGGAACACCGGUGGCGAAGGCGGCUUCCUGGACCGACACUAACGCUGAGGCGCGAAAGCUAGGGGAGCAAACGGG